rnacentral:tRNA from 174 species
GCGGGCGUAGCUCAGGGGUAGAGCAUUACCUUGCCAAGGUAAGGGUCGUGAGUUCGAAUCUCAUCGCCCGCUCCA